CAGUAGCCGCGGUAAAACGUAGGGUGCAAGCGUUAAUCGGAAUUACUGGGCGUAAAGCGUGCGUAGGCGGCUUCUUAAGUCGGAUGUGAAAUCCCUGAGCUUAACUUAGGAAUUGCAUUCGAUACUGGGAAGCUAGAGUAUGGGAGAGGAUGGUAGAAUUCCAGGUGUAGCGGUGAAAUGCGUAGAGAUCUGGAGGAAUACCGAUGGCGAAGGCAGCCAUCUGGCCUAAUACUGACGCUGAGGUACGAAAGCAUGGGGAGCAAACAGGAUUAGAGACCCCAGUAGUCCCUGUCUCUUAUAC
rnacentral:rRNA from 1 species